rnacentral:tRNA from 1 species
AUUUUUCUAGUAUAAAUAGUAUAAUUAACUUCCAAUUAGUAGGUUUGAUAACCCAAGAAAAAUA